AGGUAGUGACUGCGGAGGAUCAUUACCGAGUUGAUUCGGGCUCCGGCCCGAUCCUCCCACCCUUUGUGUACCUACCUCUGUUGCUUUGGCGGGCCGCGGUCCUCCGCGGCCGCCCCCCUCCCCGGGGGGUGGCCAGCGCCCGCCAGAGGACCAUCAAACUCCAGUCAGUAAACGAUGCAGUCUGAAAAACAUUUAAUAAACUAAAACUUUCAACAACGGAUCUCUUGGUUCUGGCAUCGAUGAAGAACGCAGCGAAAUGCGAUAAGUAAUGUGAAUUGCAGAAUUCAGUGAAUCAUCGAAUCUUUGAACGCACAUUGCGCCCUUUGGUAUUCCGAAGGGCAUGCCUGUUCGAGCGUCAUUACAACCCUCAAGCUCUGCUUGGUAUUGGGCACCGUCCUUUGCGGGCGCGCCUCAAAGACCUCGGCGGUGGCGUCUUGCCUCAAGCGUAGUAGAACAUACAUCUCGCUUCGGAGCGCAGGGCGUCGCCCGCCGGACGAACCUUCUGAACUUUUCUCAAGGUUGACCUCGGAUCAGGUAGGGAUACCCGCUGAACUUAAGCAUAUCUAAAAACGGGGAAGAGAA
rnacentral:rRNA from 1 species